rnacentral:rRNA from 1 species
GAUGAACGCUAGCGGCAGGCUUAAUACAUGCAAGUCGAGGGGUAGCAAGAUUGUAGCAAUACAAUUGUUGACGACCGGCAAACGGGUGCGGAACACGUACACAACCUUCCUACAAGUGGGGAAUAGCCCAGAGAAAUUUGGAUUAAUACCCCGUAACAUAGCGAUGUGGCAUCACAUUGCUAUUAUAGCUUCGGCGCUUGUUGAUGGGUGUGCGGCUGAUUAGAUAGUUGGCGGGGUAACGGCCCACCAAGUCUACGAUCAGUAGCUGAUGUGAGAGCAUGAUCAGCCACACGGGCACUGAGACACGGGCCCGACUCCUACGGGAGGCAGCAGUAAGGAAUAUUGGACAAUGGACGCAAGUCUGAUCCAGCCAUGCCGCAUGAAGGAUUAAGGUCCUCUGGAUUGUAAACUUCUUUUAUAAGGGACGAAAAAAGGUCUUUCUAGAUCGUCUGACGGUACCUUAUGAAUAAGCACCGGCUAACUCCGUGCCAGCCGCCGCUGUAAGAC